rnacentral:lncRNA from 1 species
GAGUGAAUUGACAUAUUAAAAGGGUCAGUUUUUGUCAUCUAACAAACAUUGGAGCUAUAUUUUAUUAUGGGGUAAUACUGGUACUACAAUAAAGUGGAUGAGUAAGUUAUGGGGGAGUUCUCACACAAAUGGAUUUCUUGAUUAGCACCAGCCGUUGCAUCAACAAUAACCGUAACUUUCUCAUAGUCCAGUGCGACGGCAUCAAAGACAGUCUGCCGGACACAAUUUGGUGUCUGAACCCCUGAAAGUUCAACACAUAUACACACAAAAAAUAUAUUUUUAUAUGAGAGGAAAAUGGUAGAACAAGAAAAUAAAAUUAUUGAUCCAGUAUAGUAGUAUACGUGCUUACCAACAACAACCAGGUUCUUGAUCCCUGAGGUUUUAAGGACCGAAUCCAGGUUCGUCGCGAAGAAAGAGCUGAACCUUGUUUUCACCACCUUAUAGUCCU